GAUGAACGCUGACAGAAUGCUUAACACAUGCAAGUCAACUGUGGCGGACGGGUGUGUAACGCGUACAGAACUUGCCUCACAGCUAGGGACAACCUUUGGAAACGAAUGCUAAUACCUGAUACUGUGAGAGAGCUUUGCGUCCCAUUAGUUAGUGGGAGAGGUAACGGCUCACCAAGGCGAGGAUGGGUAGCCGGCCUGAGAGGGUGAUCGGCCACACGGGGACCGGGACACGGCCCUUACUCCUACGGGGGGCAGCAGUGGGGAAUAUCGGACAAUGGACCAAAGUCGGAGCCAGCAAUUCUGUGGGCACGAUGAAUUUUUCGGAAUGUAAAGUUUUUUCAGUUGAGAUGCGGUACCAGCAGAAGAAGUCACGGCUAACUACGUGCCAGCAGCCGCGGUAAUAC
rnacentral:rRNA from 1 species